UCUAGAAACAAAGCACAGGAUUAAUGUGGACGCUAAAGAAUAACGUGGAAAAUGAAAGCUGUCGACUGAAUGGGAAAUUAAUACCAAAGUCUGAGUACAGCUGUCUCUCCCCAUUCUCUCUGUCUGUCUGUCCGUCCAUCCGUCCGUCCGUCCAUCUGUCCGUCCGUCCGUCCAUCUGUCCGUCCAUCCGUCCAUCUGUCCAUCCAUCCAUCCAUCCAUCUACCUACCUGUCUCUGUCUGUAUGUGUCUCUGUCUCUGAAUCUGUGUGUAUGUUGUGUGUGUGUGUGUAAGUAAGUGCACCAGGUUUUUCCAGCUUGUCAGCCAAUCUUCAAUGACCGGACUUAAUAGUGCAGUAUCAGCUACUCCAGGAUGGUCUCCUCUUGUGGUAUGCACAUAUCUUUCUGUAAGCACUUCCCUCUAAGCUCUGAGUACCCACAGCCUGCAGGCACUAAAUAUACUUAUUGAUUCCGUUGAAAGACCAUGGUCAUCUGGUUUGGAUCAUCUGCACAGAAAUCAAGGAGUCUAAAAUUUCUUUUACUAAAGUUUUAGGCAAUGCUUAGAAGUGAGAAAAAAAAUGAGUAAAUGUUUGAAGAAGGAAAAAAAAACUGUAAACUAUGGGUAACAGCUUGAGUCCGGAAUUUUCUUCUGAAGAAACAAAACACAGGCGAAAAUCUAGAGCGUGAAUCCCAUCUCAUUAGUUCUUCCAAGAGUCAGGACCCUCAAAACCGGCUCUAGUUGGCUCUGUACUUGGUGACUUAAAUGCUUCGGUUUUGAUGAGGAAAUGAUAGACAUAACCUGUGUGUGGUUAGAUGGAAAUCAUAGCCCUUCCCUGUUUCCUUUGAAAGGAGGCUGGGGGAGAGAAAGGUGACAUUUGCUGAGUCACCUUAAACUCUCCCCCUGAGUUUCUCACUAACAUCAUCCUAGAAGCAUAAUUCAAAUGAGGACUGCAAUCAACUUUUUUCUGUCUUAAUAGAAAAAAAGAGCAACAGAUAGCCGUUCUCUGGAGCCUCCAUUCAGGAUGAUCUGAGAGGCAGGGCUCGAAAGUCAUUUAAUCAUUUUGCCUUUAUCCCAAGCCUUUCUGCUGGGAAACAAGAAAUAAAGAAAAUGCCUAAAAGACGGAGUGCCAGCAUCAACAGUGUAUUGCCUCGAGAUGAAUGCCUAACGCCUUGAGUCAGCGAAGGCCUCAGGUUGAAGAACUGAAUGAAACACUCUUGCAUGGUUCUUUAUAUCUGUGUCUUAUCACUGACAGCACACUUCUUUCCUGUCUAUAUCAGGUAAGAACAUUUAUGUUCAGAAAAACAGAAGAGAAAUUAACCAUUUUAUGAUGUGUAUACUAAAACUUACGACGAACUUGCUGCUAAGUCCUUUUUUAUGCUUAGACUAUGUUUAGACUCCCACAUGCUGAAGCUGUUUUUCCAAAAGUGGUAAAAAGACCGUUUUCUGAAUGGCUUUGUUCCUCUGAGGAAGCCCUUCGACCUUUUAAGUGAUGUAUAGUUCACUUUUUAUUUAGUGAAUGUAAAACCGAAAAAUGCUUACCACUUUUCAAUAAGAAUAAUAAUCUGUUUAAGUCUAGUUAAGGAUUUCAAAAAUCCACAGAUGAUUUUUUUUUCCAGAACCGAGUAGAAGCAUCCUAUCUUAGUUCCUAGUAUGCACUGUGAGAGGAAGCCCUUAAAUACGGUCUUAACAAAGCUUCCUAAGGUCGAAAUAGAAGACAUGAUUUUUCUUUUUCUUAGAAGAUAUUUGCAUAUAUUUUCUGCAUUAGUUCUGUGGGAAAUUGAUUCUAUUUUCUGAAAAAUGUUUAUGAGAAGAUAUUUUCUCUCUAUGCGUCUUGGCAUUUCCUUGACCUUGGAGGCAGAGAACGUAAGUGCUAAGAGGCUCGCCUAAUGAUUCGAAGACUGAAGUCGAAUUGGGGCCAGGUUUCUACUGACUGGAUAACAGAGGACCAUUUGCAAAGGUCUCUUGAUUCGGGCACUAAAUAAUUUUCUUUUACAUCAAACUCUAAAGGGAAGACAGACUUUAGACUGGGAAACCAAACAAGGAAAUUACCCAACAAUUCUUUCAGUCAGCUGUUCUCCGUAUCUACUGAUAGUCCAGACAUCACAAUUUAACCCCCUCACUCACAGCUAAACAUUACAACAGCAGCACACACAGCCCCAUGUGGUAAAUUACUGCGUGUAACAUUUUUAUUUAGCUGUUUGACUGGAAAGACAUAGGAGAAUUAAAAACGCCCGUAAGUGUGUAGCAAACACAAAGAGUAUAUCAAAUCCAUAGAAUAUUGAUAUGUGCUGCUCCCUUUGCAACCGAGUUUCCCACUCGCCCUGUUAAGAUCCCUGGCAAUGGCUUUGGCUAUGAUAUGCAAGCCACCAAUCUUCCCAGCCAAUCGUGUCCCUGUUACUUUUGGCUCAGCUUCAACAAACCUCUUAAGCUGUAUUCUGUCAUCUCAUCUCUCUAAGUGUGACGCUAGCAUGAAAUUUAAUACUUAACUUCAUUUAAGGCCUGCUCUCCCGAUCUUAGUUCUUAGUGAUUAAGCCCAGGUCUCUGAGUUUAUUAACCUCAUGCCCACCAAACUGUAUUCUUGGGCAGGAUUUAAGUUCAACUCUGUCAAAGCACAAGUGUGUGUGUGUGUGUGUGUGUGUGUGUGUGUGUGUGUGUGUCUGUAUGUGUGUAUGUAUGUAUGUGUGUGUGUGUAUUUGUGUGUGUCUGUGUGACUGUGUGUGUAUCUGUGUGUGUGUCUGUGCCUGUGUGUGUGUCUGUGUGUGUAUCUGUGUCUGUGUCUGUGUGACUGUGUGUGUAUCUGUGUGUGUGUGUCUGUGUGACUGUGUGUGUGUGUCUGUGCCUGUGUGUGUGUCUGUGUGUGUGUAUGUAUGUAUGUAUGUGUGUGUGCCAUAUGUUUAUAUGACUAUGAGUAUAUUUCUCACCUUUGUAGCCAUUGCAUCUUAUUUCUAAACUAUCAUGAGGCCAGGAUACAAGGUAAAUGAGCAAAGGACAUGGAAUAAAUGUUAGAAUCUAGAGAAAGAGACCUAAUAAUGCAGAAUAACUUCUUUGACUUUCUAUCAGAUUCAAAGAAAUUCAUGCUGUACCAACACAGGAUUUUUAAUUUGGACCAUGAGAAUGUAACCUACCUACUUACCUACCUAUCUUUCUUUCUUUCUUUCUCUCUUUCUUUCUCUCUCUCUUUCUUUCUUUCUUUCUUUCUUUCUUUCUUUCUUUCCUUCUUUCUUUCUUUCUUUCUUUCUUUCUUUUUUUUUAUGGUAGCAGUAUUUUUUUCUGACACUUGGCUGAGUAAUGCCACUAAGAACCACUUAGAACAUUAUCUCAAUUUACUCUCAAGAGAAAUUCCUACCAAGUGGUGAUGAGACGGGAGUUCGCAAUCUGCUAAAGCGCCCAAAGCUACCAGUGCGCAUUCCACGAGAAGGACAUUAGCAGGGAGAUUCCACACGGUGUUCGAAUUCUCGCUACUGUAUUGACAGAAACUCACAGGCAACUUGGAUUCAUUUGAUAUCUCCAUGCCUCAAGAUCUGAGAUAAUUCCAUAAACGCUUCUUUGAAAAUGUUUUAUUUCAUCUUCUUGGCAAAUAUCUGGAGGCCAUAUAAAAGCUCUCCUUCGGGUCGUAAAAAGAAAUGCCAAGAAGCCCAUCAAGGUAAAAAUCUGAUGGAGAAUGUAUUUGUCAGCAUCAAUAAUUGAAUUGUUGGAGUGAUACAGCAGCCUCGCCCAGAGCUUUCCUGGCGAUAUCUCCAAGUCUACUUAUAGUAGCUGAGCUGGGAAAAGGCAAGGCAAAGACUUGCGGUGUUGAGAAAUUCUCAGAUUUCUCUAGAAUGAAUUAGAGGAGAAGUAUUUCUUCAUGCCUUUGAGUUUGGCUUGUUUCCUGUCUCAAGAUCGUGGCUGGAAAGGAGCAGUCGCAGGGGCUGCGCCUUUGCUUUGGGUUCCCACUUUCUGCUGAGCUCACUCGAGGAAUGUUUAACACUUGUACUAGUUCUUGAUGCAAAAGGGACACCUACAACUAUGAAUUAUAUAGAUUUUUUCUCAAAACAAGACUUUUAGAAAUAGCAGCCUCCACCCUCCUCCAUGUACAGGAAUCUAAUCCUACCUAUUCCAGACUCAAGAAUGAGUCUAAGAGGUACUGUGCCCUGGGCAGUGUAUACCUGGUGCUUUUUAAAUACCCUCAGUUCGGUUCAUCAUGAGGAUAUGCUACUGCCAAGGACAGUCUCGGCUAGGUUCAUGUUCUUGGAGAAGGGUCUUUGGGAGCAGCAAAAACAAAUGACUUGAACUCAAAUCAUGGGUUCAAGGUAGUAGCCUAGGUUCCAGACUGUUCUCUCUCUGUGUCUCCUUGUCUCUGUCUCUCUCUCUCUGUGUGUGUGUGUGUGUGUGUGUGUGUGUGUGUGUGUGUGUGUGUGUGUGUUCUGCUCUGUUUUAGACAGCUUUUUCUUGCUAUUCUAAAAACUCUGGUUGAGACAGAUAGCUUUUUGCUUCAGACAGCUCUCUUUGCUAGUAUAACUUCUAAAAGCUCUCUAGAUAGCUCAUAGGCUUUCUGAUCAUAGUCAGAAAAGCCGCUAUAAAAAAAAGUUCUUGGAUCUUUCCACCAAGUCAGAAAUCUUGUUAGAAAAAUUAAAAAAAAAAUUCUUGGUUUUUCUGAUUAAAACCAGAAAGCCAGAAACAGUUCUAGAAGAGCCAUGUUCACUCUUCAGACAGCUGCUAGGAAACAUUUUAAAAGGGCUGUAUCAGCUGUCUAAGUAAUGCUUGGGAUUUCUGACUAAGAAAUCCUGUUAGAAAAAUUCUAAAGGAGACGUGUUCACUCUCCAUGGAUUUUUCCAACCAAAAUCAGAAAUCCUGUUUGAAAGAAAUUCUUUAGGUGCUGUUUUCACUCUGGCUAGAGAAAAAUUCUAAAACCUGCUGUCACUUUCUGUUAGCUCAUCUCAUGCACACCAAAACCCCAGUUUUUUAAUUUAGAUACCAAUUCAGUUAUUUAUUCCAGGUUCCCCUUUGAAUCCUAUGAAUCAGCAUCCUGUGGCCCCAGCCCCUUAAUUCUUAGGAGACAGCAAACAUACAUUUUGUUUUAACACUGCAAAGGAAUGCAGAGAUCUGCCUGUCUCUCUGUUAAGCAGAGACAGUAAACUAGCUGGGUGGGACCCUGACCUGAAAUUACCAUUUCUACAAGUUGGCUCACAGAGCAGCUGCUUUUGUCUCUUUAGAUUCGUGAAGCCCCUCAUAAAUACAUAUUACACCCUUAUAUUUUGCCUAGUUGAGAAAUUACAUAUUUUUGAACGCAUGUUUUUUAGAGUUCUUUUCCACAGCCCUAAGGGCUGCCCUGAAGGUCUCAACUUUUACCAUACUGCCGAGACAUUAGCCACACCUUUGCCUCUCGGACUCAUAUUACCUCAGAUUAUCAUGGGGUCAUUAACACGGAGGACAUUCCUCAAAGGAGGAAUGUAAAGAUAUGUGCAGUAUUAUACAAACAAGCCUUAUUGCCCACAGCAGUUAUUGACACUCCUGGAGGCCACCUCUGCUGGUCUUGUCCCAGGGGCAGAAACCGUGUCAUUCUGUCCCCACCCAGGCCAUGCUGGACCCACAUGUUACAAUGUUACAAUUAUUACAAAUGCAUGCUGAGAUGAUCGCUGCUAUACUGUACCUCGAUAACUGCCAGUCCAAAGGCAAUUCCAAUGACAAUAAUAAUGUUUUUUUCAACCAGCUCUUUUAUCAGAGAAAGACAGGUCUGUUAAAAAGAAGAAGAAGAAAAGAAAACAUUGCUUUUAGUGAAAUCUUGAUCUCAGAUUAAGUUUUUGAUUCUUCUGGCUGACGUUUCAUAUUGUUACCAAGGUCAACAAAGAGGAAUUGAACUAUUUCUCCUACUCCAGACUUCACUCUUACUCUGUGCGCUAAAGAACAUCUGAGCCAACUUUCCUUUUUUUCUUUAGCUACGUAGCUCCUGACUGUGGGGACUGACACAACAAAACGACACUGUGCAAGCGCUCAGUGUCAAGCGCUCCAGCACAGACGACAUGCUCAGGAGUAGUUGGCCAACAAAUAAUGAACCAGACAGGGUUUUUUUUUUGUGUGUGUGUGUGUGUGCUUUUAUAGAUUACAGUUUGGUAGGCAGAAGGAUUGGGGUUAAACUCUUUUCUUGGGGGUUUUGCUGUUGUCCUGUAUUUUUGUUUGUUCGUUUGUUUGUUGAAAAAUAACUUAAAAUUGGGAUGGUAGGGUAAAGGAAAGGAUCUGGAAGGCUUGCGGGAGGGAAAAAUAUGAUCAAAAUAUAUUUAAAUAAAAUAUGUCUUAAAUAUUAAAAAUAUAAUGAAAAUGAUUUUGUGAAAUUUUUUUAAAAUUAAUUAAGUCGAUUUGUAACAAUCUAUCUCCAAGCUGUAAUUUUCAGAAACAAAGAAAAUCAUGGAUUAUGUGGGUUUGUGAUCUGCAGCAGGGAAGGCUACUGUUGAGACCCCAGCUAUGCAGAGUGCAGCUACUCCUCUGAAAAACAACAGAUGUCAAGUCCUCUAAUAGAUUCCCUGAGCCCUGGGGGAGGAUUGGAUGAAGACUAAGGAUUUGAUGAAGACUUCCAGUUUAGACUAUCUCUCUGGAAUGUAUUUUAUGAGAAAAGAAUCUAUUUUAAUAAAAGAAAGAAAGAAGAAAAAGGAAAACAAUAAAAUAGGCAAAAA